UACGAAGGGGGCUAGCGUUGCUCGGAAUCACUGGGCGUAAAGCGCACGUAGGCGGAUUGUUAAGUCAGGGGUGAAAUCCUGGAGCUCAACUCCAGAACUGCCUUUGAUACUGGCGAUCUCGAGUCCGGGAGAGGUGAGUGGAACUGCGAGUGUAGAAGUGAAAUUCGUAGAUAUUCGCAAGAACACCAGUGGCGAAGGCGGCUCACUGGCCCGGUACUGACGCUGAGGCACGAAAGCGUGGGGAGCGAACAGG
rnacentral:rRNA from 1 species